UUUAUGGGAAGCUCCUCACAGUGAUGAGAACACAGAUCUUGAAAGAAAAAGAACAAAAGUAAAAGCACCUGUUCAAGUGGAGAUAUGGCACAUCCUUCUAUAUGUGAGGUACCCUUUGCCUGCUCCGUGUGGCUACAGGGAGCGGGAGUGGAAAUUCCCAACUUUGUUCUCCCUCAGUGUUUCCAUUUAGGAAAACUCCAAAUAUCUCUCAACAUAGAAAUUCAUAUAAUGAUAUACACAGUGUUUGUGGCCAAUGCAAGAUUUUAUAAGAUUGGGUAAAGAACUUGUUUUUAAUGAUAUUCCACCCGGCAUUCUGAUGUGGCAGUUAUUGAUGGACGGAGCUUUCCCCUGGAGUGCAGUGGUCAAAGUAAAUGACAUUAACCCCGGGAACUCUGCGUGGAGGGACAGGGUCGGCCUCCAAUUAUUUCAUCAUGAGAGAGCUCCACCAGUUCCCAAAAUAUUGAAGUCUCCUAUUACUCUCACACUUCAAUGCCAGGUUUGUGAUUUUUCCAAUUCCUCAUCAGUUUUCCCCUUAUAUCCAAGUGACCUAUAAUAGA